AGAGUUUGAUCCUGGCUCAGGAUGAACGCUGGCGGCGUGCUUAACACAUGCAAGUCGAGCGAUGAAGUUUCCUUCGGGAAACGGAUUAGCGGCGGACGGGUGAGUAACACGUGGGUAACCUGCCUCAUAGAGUGGAAUAGCCUUCCGAAAGGAAGAUUAAUACCGCAUAAUGUUGAAAGAUGGCAUCAUCAUUCAACCAAAGGAGCAAUCCGCUAUGAGAUGGACCCGCGGCGCAUUAGCUAGUUGGUGGGGUAACGGCCUACCAAGGCGACGAUGCGUAGCCGACCUGAGAGGGUGAUCGGCCACAUUGGGACUGAGACACGGCCCAGACUCCUACGGGAGGCAGCAGUGGGGAAUAUUGCACAAUGGGGGAAACCCUGAUGCAGCAACGCCGCGUGAGUGAUGAAGUUUUUCGGAUCGUAAAGCUCUGUCUUUGGGGAAGAUAAUGACGGUACCCAAGGAGGAAGCCACGGCUAACUACGUGCCAGCAGCCGCGGUAAUACGUAGGUGGCGAGCGUUAUCCGGAUUUACUGGGCGUAAAGGGAGCGUAGGCGGAUGAUUAAGUGGGAUGUGAACUACCCGGGCUCAACUUGGGUGCUGCAUUCCAAACUGGUAAUCUAGAGUCCAGGAGAGGAGAGUGGAAUUCCUAGUGUAGCGGUGAAAUGCGUAGAGAUUAGGAAGAACACCAGUGGCGAAGGCGACUCUCUAGACGUGUAACUGACGCUGAGGCUCGAAAGCGUGGGGACGCAACCAGGAUUAGAUCCCCUGGUAUGUCCACCCCGUAAACGAUGUCGACUUGGAGGUUGUGCCCUUGAGGUGCGGCUUCCGGAGCUAACGCGCUAAGUCGACUGCGUGGGGAGUACGCCCGCACGGUUAAAACUCUAAUGAAUUGACGGGGGCCCGCACACGCGGUGGAGCAUGUGGUUUAAUUUGAUGCAACGCGAAGAACCCUACCUGGUCUCGACAUCCACGGAAGUUUUCCGAGAUGAGAAUGUGCCCUCGGGAACCCUGAGACAGGUGCUGCACGGCUGUCGUCAGCUCGCGUUGUGAAAUAUUGGGUUAAGUCCCGCACCGAGCGCAACCCCUAUCCUUUGUUGCCAGCGCUCCGGCCGGGACCUCAAAGGAGACUGCCAGUGAUAAACCGGAGGAAGGUGGGGAUGACGUCAAGUCAUCAUGGCCCUUACGACCAGGGCUACCCACGUGCUACAAUGGCGCAUUCAAAGAGAAGCCACCUCGCGAGAGCAAGCGGACCUCAUAAAGUGCGUCGUAGUCCGGAUUGGAGUCUGCAACUCGCCUCCAUGAAGUCGGAAUCGCUAGUAAUUGUGGAUCAGAAUGCCACGGUGAAUACGUUCCCGGGCCUUGCACACACCGCCCGUCA
rnacentral:rRNA from 1 species